CAGCCUGAAUGGACACGCCGCGUGAGUGAUGACGGCCUUCGAGUUGUAAAACUCUGUCUUCUGUGACGAACAAGUGCGUGAUUGGAAUGCUCGCACCCUGACGGUAACAGGGGAGGAAGCCACGGCUAACUACGUGCCAGCAGCCGCGGUAAUACGUAGGUGGCAAGCGUUGUCCGGAUUCACUGGGCGUAAAGCGCGCGCAGGCGGCUAUCUACGUCCGGGGUGAAAGCCCAGAGCUCAACUCUGGGACUGCCUUGGAUACGGGAUAGCUUGAGGAUCGGAGAGGCAAGGGGAAUUCCACGUGUAGCGGUGAAAUGCGUAGAGAUGUGGAGGAACACCUGUGGCGAAGGCGCCUUGCUGGCCGAUUUCUGACGCUGAGGCGCGAAAGCGUGGGGAGCAAACAGGAUUAGAUACCCUGGUAGUCCACGCCGUAAACGAUGAGUGCUAGGUGUUGGGGGGUACCUCCCUCAGUGCCGAAGCUAACGCAUUAAGCACUCCGCCUGGGGAGUACGCUCGCAAGAGUGAAACUCA
rnacentral:rRNA from 1 species